UGGGGAAUAUUGGGCAAUGGACGCAAGUCUGACCCAGCAACGCCGCGUGAAGGAAGAAGGCUUUCGGGUUGUAAACUUCUUUUAAGGGGGGAACAGCAGAAGAGGGUACCCCUUGAAUAAGCCACGGCUAACUACGUGCCAGCAGCCGCGGUAAUACGUAGGUGGCAAGCGUUGUCCGGAUUUACUGGGUGUAAAGGGCGUGCAGCCGGGAAGGCAAGUCAGAUGUGAAAUCCGUGGGCUUAACCCACGAACUGCAUUUGAAACUGCUUUUCUUGAGUAUCGGAGAGGUAAUCGGAAUUCCUUGUGUAGCGGUGAAAUGCGUAGAUAUAAGGAAGAA
rnacentral:rRNA from 1 species